ACGGCCAUACCACAUUGAAAACACCGGUUCUCGUCCGAUCACCGAAGUUAAGCAAUGUCGGGCCUGGUUAGUACUUGGGAGGGUGACCACCUGGGAAUACAGGGUGCUGUAAGCU
rnacentral:rRNA from 1 species